rnacentral:rRNA from 1 species
UAGUGAUUUCCGUAGGUGAACCUGCGGAGGGAUCAUUACCGAAGAAAAGGCGCUCUGCGUCCGGCCUCCAACCCUUUGUUCGUCUCAACCAUGUUGCCUCGGGGGGCGACCCGGCCCUCGUGCCGGGCGACCCCGGAGGUCCAUCAAACUCUGCAUCCUUGCGUCGGAGUAUUGAAAGCACAUCAAUCAAAACUUUUAACAACGGAUCUCUAGGUUCUGGCAUCGAUGAAGAACGCAGCGAAAUGCGGAUAAGUAAUGUGAAUUGCAGAAUUCAGUGAAUCAUCGAAUCUUUGAACGCACAUUGCGCCCUUUUGGUAUUCCCGGGGGCAUGCCCGUUCGAGCGUCAUUACACCACUCAAGCCUCGCUUGGUCUUGGGCGGCGGGCCCCCGCGCCCCCGCCCCCAUAUCUGCCGGCUGGACGGUUGGGUUCUCAGCGUUGUGAAUCAAGUUCGCUCUGAUCCCCGGCCGGACGCGCCGUUCAAAUAUUCACCAGGUUGACCUCGGAUCGGGUAGGGAUACCCGCUGAACUUAAGCAUAUCAAUAAGCGGAGGAA